UACGUAGGGCGCAAGCGUUGUCCGGAAUUAUUGGGCGUAAAGAGCUCGUAGGCGGCUUGUCACGUCGGGUGUGAAAGCCCGGGGCUCAACUCCGGAUCUGCGGUGGGUACGGGCAGACUAGAGUGAUGGUAGGGGAGACUGGAAUUCCUGGUGUAGCGGUGAAAUGCGCAGAUAUCAGGAGGAACACCGAUGGCGAAGGCAGGUCUCUGGGCAUUAACUGACGCUGAGGAGCGAAAGCGUGGGGAGCGAACAGG
rnacentral:rRNA from 1 species